GACGAACGCUGGCGGCGUGCUUAACACAUGCAAGUCGAACGGAAAGGCCCUGCUUUUGUGGGGUGCUCGAGUGGCGAACGGGUGAGUAACACGUGAGUAACCUGCCCUUGACUUUGGGAUAACUUCAGGAAACUUGGGCUAAUACCGGAUAGGAGCUUCUGCUGUAUGGUGGGGGUUGGAAAGUUUCGGCGGUUGGGGAUGGACUCGCGGCUUAUCAGCUUGUUGGUGGGGUAGUGGCUUACCAAGGCUUUGACGGGUAGCCGGCCUGAGAGGGUGACCGGCCACAUUGGGACUGAGAUACGGCCCAGACUCCUACGGGAGGCAGCAGUGGGGAAUAUUGCACAAUGGGCGGAAGCCUGAUGCAGCAACGCCGCGUGCGGGAUGACGGCCUUCGGGUUGUAAACCGCUUUCGCCUGUGACGAAGCGUGAGUGACGGUAAUGGGUAAAGAAGCACCGGCUAACUACGUG
rnacentral:rRNA from 1 species